CAACUUUCAACAACGGAUCUCUUGGCUCUCGCAUCGAUGAAGAACGCAGCGAAUUGCGAUAAGUAAUGUGAAUUGCAGAAUAACGUGAAUCAUCGAAUCUUUGAACGCAUAUUGCACUCUCUGGUAAUCCGGAGAGUAUGCCUGUUUGAGGGUCAGU
rnacentral:rRNA from 1 species